rnacentral:rRNA from 1 species
UGGUGGAGUGAUUUGUCUGCUUAAUUGCGAUAACGAACGAGAUCUCUACCAAUAAAUAGAUGCUGCUUCCACGUUGUAGGCCGGUGGGGGGGUUGGGCUUGCUUGACUACCAUCCCCCGGCUGAGGAGGCAGAGCUUUUACUUAUUGGGAUUAUGCAUCUUUUAAAUGCAUUGAGACGAGAGCCAAUAGCA